rnacentral:miRNA from 1 species
GGAGGGAACCCUCUCUGGAGA